UAAAAAGUGUGAGGCCAGUCCAGGUUACAUAAUGAGAACUGAUUUCAAAAACAAAACAACCUAAAGAAGGGAAAAAGUACCUUCUCACCACUACUAGAAAAAAACCAGUCAAAUAGAAAGCAUGAGUCCGCGCUAGGGUCGGCCUGGGUAACAUAAUGAGACUAUCUCUAAGAAAGAGAGAAGCAAAGAAGGAGAGAAAAGGAAAAAGGAGUAGGGAAGAAGGAAACAAGAUAAUUGAGAGUGCAGUUGAACUGGCAAGACACAAUCUCAAAAGGUAAAAAUAAAAAAAGUUGGCUUUUCAAUGUCAGCUUCUUUUAAUUAGAUUUGUUGUCCUAGUUUACAAAUAUAUUAAUACCCUUAUACAUAAAUUAUAUGUUUUAAAUUAAAAUUAUUGAUUUUAAUUAAAUUUACUGACUUGGAUCGUUGGUGCCAGAUGUUGGUAAUAUACAGCACUCAUACCUAGAUGAGAGAAGAUAUGGAAGUUAUAAACAACAAUAUAGUUAAAAUAAUAGGUAUGUGUUGCAUAAAAUACAGACAUCUUCAUAUUGAGUCCAUUCCUGUCUGAGAUGGGUUUUUAUUGUUCCUCUCUUCAGUGGGAGCUGGUGAAGUGGCCAAUUUUGCUGCAUAUGCAUUUGCUCCGGCCACACUGGUGACUCCACUAGGUGCACUCAGCGUCCUUGUAAGUGCCAUUCUGUCUUCAUACUUCCUAAAUGAAAGACUUAAUCUUCAUGGGAAAAUUGGGUGUUUACUAAGUAUUCUAGGAUCUACAGUUAUGGUCAUUCAUGCUCCAAAGGAAGAGGAGAUUGAGACCUUAAAUGAAAUGUCACAUA
rnacentral:lncRNA from 1 species